UGGGCCUUAUAGGUUCAGUUG
rnacentral:miRNA from 1 species